rnacentral:rRNA from 2 species
GGACUACAGGGGUUUCUAAUCCUGUUUGAUCCCCACGCUUUCGUGCCUCAGCGUCAAUCGUUGCUUAGUGGGCUGCCUACGCAAUCGGUGUUCCGGGUCAUAUCUAUGCAUUUCACCGCUACAUGACCCGUUCCGCCCACCUCAACAACAUUCAAGACCAAUAGUAUCAAUGGCAGUUUCCGGGUUGAGCCCGGAGAUUUCACCGCUGACUUAAAAGUCCGCCUACACACCCUUUAAACCCAGUAAAUCCGGAUAACGCUUGCACCCUCCGUAUUACCGCGGCUGCUGGCAC